AUCAAAAAAGAAUGUGGGGUGUUUCUCUUUUCAAUUAUAGAAGAAACAAAAAAACAUUCUUUUUCUAUAAUCUCUUCUCUCGAAGUCACCAUGACCAAUUUCAGAUUCAUUCAUUCAUGAUUCUUGAAGAGAAACCAUCACGCGUUAUGUAACAAAAGAUUCUGACGAAUGAGUUCUCCGACAGCGCGGUUUAGGUCGAAUAAGUUAAGGAACGGUUAAUUAUAGCGAUGAUUGUUUCGGUGUUUCUUCGUAAACGAUCUUGAAGAGGGAUGAAUGGAGAAGCGGACCGGUGUCUUAUUCCUUUUCUAAGUUGCAAUAUUGAUGCCUCGACGACCCUAAUAAAUGAAGUAUUAUGAAUACUUUCUUGAUGGGAUGAAUCCACUGAAGGAUUAUAUUUUAGACACUUAGGAGAAUGCCAGGAGGCACGUGCGGGUCACAGUGCAGCAGUUGUUAUCCAACGGCUCUUCAUCUUUGAUGGCUGUGGAAAAAUUCUUCUAAUAAUAACAAUGAGGGUUUAAUUUUGUUACUGGCAGCAGCUGAUGCACUUUCUCGUUUGGAUGGCCUUGGUAACCUUAGCAAGCAGGUGCGUACAAAAUAAUCAAUCGAGUUUUCAGGUUUCAGCUUUUGGACUGUUCAUAACUGAAGGUUCUUGGAGUCAAUUAGUAAUAGGAAGCGGCUUGAUAAGGCUCUAAUGUUCUGGCUCUGCAGGCCAAAUCCUACUUUAGGAGAGGGAGAAAGUAACUUGUACACAACAAAUUAAAGGAAAAGUUAGUCUGAAGAGAGAGAAAAAUAUCUCAGAUAUGUUUAUAUAGGAAAAUUUUGAGGAAAAAGGGGUUAUGGGAAUUCCAUAUCAGCUGUUUAGCUUAUAGGUUGGCGCCAAAGGUGUUCACUAAGGCUGGGAGAAUUUGCUUACAUUUUCCAAAUUGUUCUUCUCGUUUUCACUUUGGCCAAAGGUGUUUGACGGGAACUGUUCCUUCCAAUAGCUUAAUUUUGUUAAUAGUCACAAAGCUUUGACUUAUUAUAAGUUUCCAUGCGUGUCUUUCUGGUUUCCUUUUUAGAAGAGCACAAAUGUAUUGUGUUUAUCAUAAUUAUAAUAUGUACUCAUCAUGUUACAGUUUCUUUUGUGUGGUGCUUCAUGCUUUCAAACCUACAAGUAGUUGUUCCCUUGGAUUAAUUGGUGCAAGUUGCCCUUACUCAAUGUAUUUGUUUAUACAAUAAUUAUCAGGGUUG